GUACGUUGAUCCGUGCACGAGAGACCGCUGGCGGCGUGCUUAACACAUGCAAGUCGAACGGUGGAAGCAGGAGCGUUGCUCCUGUCGGAUCAGUGGCGAAACGGGUGAGGUAACACGUGAGCAACCUGACCCCAGACUCUGGGAUAACCAUGAGGAAAUCGUGGCUAAUAACCGGAUACGAGACGCCCCACGCAUGUGGAGACGGUCUGGAAAGACGUUUAUCGGGUCUCGGGGAUGGGCUCGCGGCCUAUCAGCUAGUUGGUGAGGUAACGGCUCACCAAGGCGACGACGGGUAGCCGGCCUGAGGGGGCGACCGGCCACACUGGGACUGAGACACGGCCCAGACUCCUACGGGAGGCAGCAGUGGGGAAUAUUGCACAAUGGGCGAAAGCCUGAUGCAGCGACGCCGCGUGAGGGAUGAAGGCCUUCGGGUUGUAAACCUCUUUCAGCAGGGAAGAAGCGAAAGUGACGGUACCUGCAGAAGAAGCGCCGGCUAACUACGUG
rnacentral:rRNA from 1 species